GCAUAUCAAUAAGCGGAGGAAAAGAAAAUAACAAUGAUUCCCUUAGUAACGGCGAGUGAAGGGGGAAAAGCUCAAAUUUUAAAUCUGCUAGGUUUUACCUGUCAGAAUUGUAAUUUGAAGCGUUUUCCGCGUCUUGGUUGGCCCAAAUCCUUUGGGAUAAGGUAUCAUGGAGGGUGAGAAUCCCGUUCGGUUGACCUUAUGACGCUCUACGAUACGCUCUCUAAGAGUCGAGUUGUUUGGGAUUGCAGCUCAAAAUGGGAGGUAAAUUUCUCCUAAGGCUAAAUAUCGGCGAGAGACCGAUAGCGAACAAGUACCGUGAGGGAAAGAUGAAAAGAACUUUGAAAAGAGAGUAAAAUAGUACGUGAAAUUGUUGAAAGGGAAACGAUUGAAGUCAGUCGUACCGACGAGAAAUCAACUUAUCGUGUGCGAACU
rnacentral:rRNA from 1 species